UACGUAGGUGGCAAGCGUUGUCCGGAAUUAUUGGGCGUAAAGCGCGCGCAGGCGGUCCUUUAAGUCUGAUGUGAAAGCCCACGGCUCAACCGUGGAGGGUCAUUGGAAACUGAGGGACUUGAGUGCAGAAGAGGAAAGCGGAAUUCCACGUGUAGCGGUGAAAUGCGUAGAGAUGUGGAGGAACACCAGUGGCGAAGGCGGCUUUCUGGUCUGUAACUGACGCUGAGGCGCGAAAAGCGUGGGGAGCAAACAGG
rnacentral:rRNA from 1 species